UGAGAAAUACUCAAAGAGAAGACAGGCACGACUUCAGAAGGAAUUGGCUGAUGCUGCCAAGGAACCUCUGUCUGUGGAGCAGUAAGUAU